GGGGAUAACGUCCCGAAAGGGACGCUAAUACCGCAUGACAUCCUGCCUUUGGACAGGCGGAGAUCAUCUAUCAAGGAUCGCAAGACCUGGCGCUUGAAGAGGGGCCCGCGUCUGAUUAGCUAGUUGGUGAGGUAACGGCUCACCAAGGCGACGAUCAGUAUCCGGCCUGAGAGGGCGGACGGACACACUGGGACUGAGACACGGCCCAGACUCCUACGGGAGGCAGCAGUGGGGAAUUGUUCGCAAUGGGCGCAAGCCUGACGAC
rnacentral:rRNA from 1 species